CACACACACACACACACACACACACACACACACCCCGCCCUCUCUUCUGCCUUGCAGUCAAAUAUGUGAAUCCUUGGAUGACACAGAAAGGAUUUAUUUAACAGGAGACUGAACAUUUUGAACAUGGAAAUGUGAAUAUCUGUGAACACUGAAUAGGCUAGAUUAGUAAGAGCAGAGACUGGAAGAAAGGCCAGGUGGGUGUCUUCUCCUGUCUUUUCCUUCUAAUUAGCAUUCAGUCAGACUGUAUAGAGGACCUGCUACAUCCUGGGGAUGAUUCACACAUUGUCCCUGCCUCCCAGUUACUCCUCCUCUGAUGAGGGUUUGCAAACGAACUUUCUUCCAUCAUUUAUCCCCCAAAACAUGUAUCAAUUGAUAUCGUUACUUGCCAAACAUAAAAUAACAUAAGGACAUGAAUUCUAGAGGAAUUUUGUUUUGAGAAAUGAAAAUAUAGAUUUCAGAGGCCACUGGGAAAGGAAGAUUUACAGGACCAAAUAACUGACAAAAAUGUUAACUUGCCAGAGAAGAAAGACUCAAAAAUGUUCCAUUGACAUAAACCUAGAUAACUAGGAGAAUGAGAGUGCCUGUGUAGGGGAGUGAAAAUAAUUUUCUCCUCCACCCUUCAUAGGUUUCUAGCUAGGUCUCCCUGUUAGGGGCGUUCAAACCAGAGCGACUCCAUCUUCAGUGAGGGCUAGGAAAAAUGAGGCUGGGACCUGCUGGGCUGCAUUCCCAGAAAGUUAGGUAUUCUUAGCCUCUAGGUGUUUACCGUUAAGGGAACAGGUUGAUAAUGUUUACUAAACAGACCCAGACUUGGGAGUGUCCUGAUAUCCCAGUAUCUUGAGAACAGAAGCAUUCUUAAUUUUGCUUUAAAGAUAACAUCAAUUCUUGCAAAAUAAAGUAAUUAAGAAAAUUAACCCUUUAUCAUAAACCCUUGUAGCAGAGUACAUCUCCCCACAAUCUUUCUUUUUAUCCCAUAUGUAAACAGGAUUUAUCCUGUAUAUACCUAGGGAGGACGUGUUUCCCCUCCUACUUUCGAGAACGCCCUGCUCUGUCUAUGAGUAGCUAUUCUUUCACCACUUUACUUCCUUAAUAAACUUACUUUUGCUUUGCACUGUGGACUUGCCCUGAAUUCUUUCUUGUGGGAGAUCGAAGAACUCUCUCUUGGUGUCCGGAUCGGGACUCCUUUCCGGUAACAUCACUAUGUUGCCCAGGCUGGUCUUGAACUCCUGGCCUCAAACCAUCCUAUAGAUUCGACCUCCGAAAGUGCUGGGGUUACAGGCAUAGCCACUGUGCCCAGCUGGAACAAUCUUUAUGAAGGUGAAUUAAAGCUGUGAGGCAUGAGACCAGAAAAGAUGCACCAGGAGUAAUGGAUUUUGGUGGAGAAUGAGCCACAGAAACGCGAUCAUGAGGCAAAUGGUGGGGCCUAACCCUGCCUUCUCAGUCCUCGGGAUGGGAGACCGGGCUAGAGAAGAGAAGGCUGGUGUGAAAACGCCGGGAGGCCCUCAUCGAGCCUCAUUCUCAGCCACAUCGUAAGGAUUUAGAGGCCCUAAGCACUGACGACGCUGUGGUGCCACAAAAAUAGACAAGCAGGGCAUGUGCGCUGAAGCUGGAAGAGGCUUCUUCCAUAUUUUCAUUGCAAAAUCAGAACUUUGAUAACCCUGCAUUUUACCGAGAUGUCAAAGCAGGAAGUGCUUGGCUGGAACAUCUGCCGACAGCCUCAUCUCUUUCUGCAAGAUCAUGAUGUUCUGCAUGCUCCUGUGGCCUCUUAUUUCACGUUGCUCUCCCUGCAAAUUUUGAAACAACUUUAAAGAUGAAUAAAAAGCAGCUCAGCAAGUGAAUCCCAGAUCCCGGGCCAAACUCCGACGCCCACGAGCUCGCUCAGAAUUGGCUCAGGCUGCAAUCACUUCUCUUCUCCUACCUCCACACCAUUCCCUGAUGGUGGACAGCUUCUCCUUUGAGAACCACACCUGCCUUUUCAGACAAAAGGAGACACCACCCACCCUCCUGCUGAGGGCUGCUCCCCUGGGGCCUUCUCAGCACACCUCUCUCUCUCUAGGUCAAAAAACAAAUUUCACAUGCUGAAUUUUUACCUUUUUUAAAGUGACUCCGAAUUUUGGCACCAGCAAUUAAUUCAACACUUGAAUAAGAUUUGAAAACCUCACAACAAAUCACAAAUAUAUUAUGGGUCCUGUU
rnacentral:lncRNA from 1 species